rnacentral:rRNA from 1 species
UACGUAGGUCCCGAGCGUUGUCCGGAUUUAUUGGGCGUAAAGCGAGCGCAGGUGGUUUAUUAAGUCUGGUGUAAAAGGCAGUGGCUCAACCAUUGUAUGCAUUGGAAACUGGUAGACUUGAGUGCAGGAGAGGAGAGUGGAAUUCCUAGUGUAGCGGUGAAAUGCGUAGAUAUUAGGAGGAACACCAGUUGCGAAGGCGGCUCUCUGGACUGUAACUGACACUGAGGCACGAAAGCGUGGGGAGCAAACAGG